GACGAACGCUGGCGGCGUGCUUAACACAUGCAAGUCGAACGGAAAGGCCCUGCUUUUGUGGGGUGCUCGAGUGGCGAACGGGUGAGUAACACGUGAGUAACCUGCCCUUGACUUUGUGAUAACUUCAGGAAAAUGGGGCUAAUACCGGAUAGGAGCUCCUGCUGCAUGGUGGGGGUUGGCAAGUUUCGGCGGUUGGGGAUGGACUCGCGGCUUAUCAGCUUGUUGGUGGGGUAGUGGUUUACCAAGGCUUUGCCGGGUAGCCGGCCUGAGAGGGUGACCGGCCACAUUGGGACUGAGAUACGGCCCAGACUCCUACGGGAGGCAGCAGUGGGGAAUAUUGCACAAUGGGCGGAAGCCUGAUGCAGCAACGCCGCGUGCGGGAUAACGGCCUUCGGGUUGUAAACCGCUUUCGCCUUUGACGAAGCGUGAGUGACGGUAAUGGGUAAAGAAGCACCGGCUAACUACGUG
rnacentral:rRNA from 1 species